rnacentral:rRNA from 1 species
AACGAACGCUGGCGGCAGGCCUAACACAUGCAAGUCGAACGAACCUUUAUGGUGAGUGGCGCACGGGUGCGUAACACGUGGGAAUAUACAUUUCGGUAAGGAAUAACGUAGAGAAAUUUGCGCUAAUACCUUAUAAUGACUCCGGUCCAAAGAUUUAUCGCCGAAGGAUUAGCCCGCGUCUGAUUAGGUAGUUGGUAGGGUAAAAGCCUACCAAGCCGACGAUCAGUAGCUGGUCUGAGAGGAUGAUCAGCCACACUGGAACUGAGACACGGUCCAGACUCCUACGGGAGGCAGCAGUGAGGAAUAUUGGACAAUGGGGGAAACCCUGAUCCAGCCAUGCCGCGUGAGUGACGAAGGCCUUAGGGUUGUAAAGCUCUUUCAGAUGCGAAGAUAAUGACGGUAACAUCAGAAGAAGCUCCGGCUAAAUUCGUGCCAGCCGCCGCGGUAA